GACGAACGCUGGCGGCGGGCCUAAUACAUGCAAGUAGAACGCAGUUGCGAACGGGUGAGUAACGAGUAGGUAAAUGGCUAAUAGCGGGGGAUAACUAUUGGAAACGAUAGCUAAUACCGCAUACUGUGAGAUGGAACUGCUUUGUAUUAGGUAGUUGGUGAGGUAAAGGCUCACCAAGGCGACGAUACAUAGCCGACCUGAGAGGGUGAUCGGCCACGCUGGGACGUAGACACGGCCCAGACGCCUACGGUGGGAAGCAGUGGGAAAUCUUCGGCAAUGGACGGAAGUCUAACCUAGCAACGCCGCGUGAGGUAAGAAGUUUUACGGAUCGUAAAGCUCUGUUGUUAGAGAAGCUGUAACUAACAAGAACGGGACGGCUAACUACGUGCCAGCAGCCGCGAAUAC
rnacentral:rRNA from 1 species